CCAAGACUGAGUGCACACGUUUCCAUCAAGCCAGGCAGAAGGGCCACCAGGUGACCGCAGCAGCCAACCCCAAGGGGUCUCUGGCAGAGCUUUGGGCUUCUCUGCAGAUGUCGAGGUAUCUGCAUAUCCAACUCUUCAUUGUCCCUGGUGCAGGUUAACCAUGCUCUGCAGGGUACCUCUUUAUCCCCUCAGCCUGUCCCAGGCCUCCUGCCAGUGUCCACAGUGCUGUGCGUUGGGUGUCUAAUUCCACCUCCCCCUGAGAGGUCACUGACAUGUGAACACAUGCUCCUAACAAGUUGACCCCAGUCUUGCUGAAAUUGCCUAGACUGUAUUAUUUUCUUCCCCAUACUUGACAUAGAGCAUAAGCUGAGAGGUACAUAAUACAUGCCAUAAUUUAUGACGGUGCUUAGGUAAAGCCAUGCAAACUCGUCUAUCAUUGCCAGGUUCAUUUCCAGUGGUGUUCAUUGAAGAGCCAGACUUCUCAAGACCUGUCUUCACCUGCUGUCUCCACCUCCUGUUCACCACUCAACCCAUUCCAUGUGGCUGUUGCCCUCAUCAUCCUAUUAAAACCAGCUGCAAUAAUCUCCAUGGAUCACUUACUAAGAGAGUUACAAAGAUCAGCUUUGGGGACAUAUAAGGAUAAAUAAUUGGAAUAAUACUGUGUUGGAGCUUAAAUAACCCC
rnacentral:lncRNA from 10 species